rnacentral:rRNA from 1 species
UACACACCGCCCGUCACACCAUGGGAGUUGGUUUUACCUUAAGACGGUGUGCUAACCAGCAAUGGAGGCAGCCGGCCACGGUAAGGUCAGCGACUGGGGUG